rnacentral:rRNA from 1 species
CGUACGCUGGCGGCACGCCUAACACAUGCAAGUCGAACGAAGUAGCAAUACUUAGUGGCAGACGGGUGAGUAACAUGUAGGUAUCUGCCCUUUGGCCUGGAAUAACACGAGGAAACUUGUGCUAAUACCGGAUAAGUCUUUACGGAGAAAGCUUUAUGCACCAUUGGAUGAGCCUGCACUUGAUUAGUUUGUUGGUGGGGUAAUGGCCUACCAAGACUUUGAUCAAUAGCUGAUUUGAGAGGAUGAUCAGCCACAUUGGGACUGAGACACGGCCCAAACUCCUACGGGAGGCAGCAGUGGGGAAUCUUGCACAAUGGAGGAAACUCUGAUGCAGCGAUGCCGCGUGAGUGAAGAAGGCCUUUGGGUUGUAAAGCUCUUUCGUCGGGGAAGAAAAUGACUGUACCCGAAUAAGAAGGUCCGGCUAACUUCGUGCCAGCAGCCGCGGUAAUACGAAGGGACCUAGCGUAGUUCGGAAUUACUGGGCUUAAAGAGUUCGUAGGUGGUUGAAAAAGUUGGUGGUGAAAUCCCAGAGCUUAACUCUGGAACUGCCAUCAAAACUUUUCAGCUAGAGUUUGAUAGAGGAAAGCAGAAUUUCUAGUGUAGAGGUGAAAUUCGUAGAUAUUAGAAAGAAUACCAAUUGCGAAGGCAGCUUUCUGGAUCAUUACUGACACUGAGGAACGAAAGCAUGGGUAGCGAAGAGGAUUAGAUACCCUCGUAGUCCAUGCCGUAAACGAUGUGUGUUAGACGUUGGAAAUUUAUUUUCAGUGUCGCAGCGAAAGCGAUAAACACACCGCCUGGGGAGUACGACCGCAAGGUUAAAACUCAAAUGAAUUGACGGGGACCCGCACAAGUAGUGGAGCAUGUGGUUUAAUUCGAAGAUACGCGCAGAACCUUACCAACACUUGACAUGUUCGUCGCGACUUUAAGAGAUUAAAGUUUUCGGUUCGGCCGGACGAAACACAGGUGCUGCAUGGCUGUCGUCAGCUCGUGUCGUGAGAUGUUGGGUUAAGUCCCGCAACGAGCGCAACCCUCACUUUUAGUUGCCAUCAUUUAGUUGGGCACUCUGAAAGAACUGCCAGUGAUAAGCUGGAGGAAGGUGGGGAUGACGUCAAGUCCUCAUGGCCCUUACGUGUUGGGCUACACACGUGCUACAAUGGUAUCUACAACAGGAAGCAAAACGGCGACGUUAAGCAAAUCCUCAAAAGAUACCUCAGUUCGGAUUGCACUCUGCAACUCGAGUGCAUGAAGCUGGAAUUACUAGUAAUCGUGGAUCAGCGUGCCACGGUGAAUGCGUUCCCGGGUCUUGUACACACCGCCCGUCACACCAUGGGAGUUGGUUCUACCUUAAGGCAAGGUUUUAAACCCUUGACCACGGUAUAGUCAGCGACUGGGGUGAAGUCAUAACAAGGUAACCGUA